rnacentral:rRNA from 1 species
AUGCGAUUAUAUUAGUAUUAAUGUAUCGGAUUUUAUUAGAAUUUCGCAGUUAAGCGUGUUUGGGCGAGAGUAGUAUUAGGAUGGGUGAUUUUUCGGGAAGUUUUCGUGUUGUA